UUCCCAUCAGAGUUUGAUCAAAUCAGUGGGAAGUCUUGGCUGAGGAGUCUACUUUCUUUGGGAGCUUCUUCUUUAUUUAAAAAAAAAAAAAAAUCCAGAUGGUUUAUGAGGAAGAAAAAUACUGAAACAGGUCUUUCACUUUCAAACUUCUCUCAGCACAGCUGGAUCCUCUAUGUGAGAGGAGUUAGGGAAAUCUCAGGGAGAGCUGCUAACAGUGAAAAUGAUAUGAUUUUCUGGGAAGUGAAUGACAGCCAAGUUCUAG